CCUACGGGAGGCAGCAGUGGGGAAUUUUGGACAAUGGGCGCAAGCCUGAUCCAGCAAUGCCGCGUGCAGGAUGAAGGCCUUCGGGUUGUAAACUGCUUUUGUACGGAGCGAAACGGUCUCUUCUAAUACAAGGGGCUAAUGACGGUACCGUAAGAAUAAGCACCGGCUAACUACGUGCCAGCAGCCGCGGUAAUACGUAGGGUGCAAGCGUUAAUCGGAAUUACUGGGCGUAAAGCGUGCGCAGGCGGUGAUGUAAGACAGAUGUGAAAUCCCCGGGCUCAACCUGGGACCUGCAUUUGUGACUGCAUCGCUAGAGUACGGUAGAGGGGGAUGGAAUUCCGCGUGUAGCAGUGAAAUGCGUAGAUAUGCGGAGGAACACCGAUGGCGAAGGCAAUCCCCUGGACCUGUACUGACGCUCAUGCACGAAAGCGUGGGGAGCAAACAGGAUUAGAUACCCUGGUAGUCCACGCCCUAAACGAUGUCAACUGGUUGUUGGGUCUUCACUGACUCAGUAACGAGCUAACGCGUGAAGUUGACCGCCUGGGGAGUUACGGCCGCAAAGGUUGAAACUUCAAAGGNAGUUGGCGNGNGAGNGCGACGACGCGACGAGGAGGAGGAGG
rnacentral:rRNA from 1 species